CCAGCACCAAGUAGAAUUGGGACAAGAGGUCACCAGUAUAUGGAAAAAUAUUGUUCCUUUUCCAGGGAAGGGGUCUGAAGAUACAGUUACAGCUCUGAUUUUGAAGUAACUACCAGGAAAAACAGAAAGACUCUAAUGAUUAGACGUACAUCCUGACCUUUCACUGUAUAACUUAAGGUUCUAGAACUCACCUCGAUUCCUUGGCUUGUUGUCCCAUCCAUACCUUGAAAGCCAGCAAUGAUGCAACUCUCUGAUCCUUCUUCCAUAGCCGUGUCUCCCCUUCUUCCAUAGCAAUGUCUCCCUUUGACCAAAGACUUGAAAGGCUCUCCACUAUUAAGGACCUGCAUGAUUAGAUUGGACCCACUAGAUAAUCCAAAAUAGUCUUCUCAAAUCCUUACCCACACUGCAAAAUCCGUUUUGUCAUGUAAGGUGCAAGGACUGGGACAUGGACAUCUUUGGGUGCUACUAUUCUGCCUAUCACCAACUCAA